UUAAAUGGCCGCGGUAUUUUGACCGUGCUAAGGUAGCAUAAUCAUUAGUUUUUUAAUUGAAAGCUGGAAUGAAGGGUUGGAUGAAAAAAUUACUGUCUCAUUAUAAUUUUAUUAGAAUUUUAUUUUUAAGUUAAAAAGCUUAAAUUAAUUUAAAAGACGAGAAGACCCUAUAGAGUUUUAUUUAUAUUUAAACAAUAAAAUUUAGUAAUUAAUAUUUUAUUUUUUAAAAAUAAAUUUGAUUGGGGUGAUUGAAAAAUUUAAUAAACUUUUUUUAUUUUUUAAUAUUAAUUUAUAUGUAUUUGAUCCAUUUUUAAUGAUUAUAAGAAAAAAUUACCUUAGGGAUAACAGCGUAAUUUUAUUUUAGAGUU
rnacentral:rRNA from 1 species